CUCAAGACAGACAAAAAAAUAUAUAUCCCGGUCAGAUUGGCCCUGUUGAUCUCACUAAACCAUUAGCCAGUUUUGUCUGAUGUAUUAGG